AAAUGUGGUAAAGUACUUGAAGCAAACAUCCCGCAUCGCUAUUGGACCUCUGAGACUUUCUACUUUAACAGUUUCACAGUCUUUGCCAGUUCUAAGUACCUUGCAGCUGUAUUGCUCGUCUGCUUUGGAGACCACAGUUUCUAACAGACUUUCAACAGAGGACUGUCUUAUUCCACUCUUCGGCGAAGCUUUACGUUCAUGUAAACAGCAUGACGUGAGGCCGUGGAUGCAGGCAUUAAGGUAUACUGUGUACCAGAAUCAGUUGUUGGAGAAAAUUAA
rnacentral:lncRNA from 1 species